AUCAUUGUAUGUCAAAGUAUCAAUAUCACUAAUAUAGAUCACCUUUUAGGUACUCUGUUACCACAUUACCACAGAUCAGGGAGAAUAUACGGUAUUUGUCUUUUUUUGGAAAGGCUUAUUUUACAAAGUGUAAGGUUUUACAGUUGCAUCCUUUUUUUUCUUUUUGCAAAUGACAGGGUUUCUUUCUUUUUUUGUACUGGAAAAGGUUUCUUACCUGGAGCACACCGGAGAUCAACACAGCCCCGCUAUCCUAGCCUGGAGCCAAGACAGCUGUCACCCACGUUGUUGACACUGCCUGGCCGCUUCCGGUGCCGUUGUGCUUACUGGGAGGAAGAGGCGGGUUCUAGAUGGCUGGCGCUUGCGCAGUCGGCCUGGUGGAGAGCAAGAUGGUAUUAUCUGGUGGUGGCGGCAUGUCAUCGGCUGCUGGAAUUGUCGGCUGAUGGCGGCGUUUUCGGCAGCGGUACUGGCCCAGAGAGUGCGGGAGUGAAGGUGAGUUUUUCUUGUGAAACAAUGAGAGGCCUGGGACCUCGUCGCGGAGGGGGCGGGGGUCGUGGCUCCUCGGAGCAGUGUAGACACUCAUGUCCGCAGGCUGGGCGGCCGUGGGGGCGGGCGGCGGCUCAGCUGUGGGAAGCAGAGAAGCGGGUUGGCUGGGCUUGCGCUGGAGGACAGGACUGCGGGUUACAAGACAUUUUCAUGGAUAUGAAACUGGACACCGAGUUGACGCUGAAGUUCAGCUGCUGGGUAAUCUUCCAUUUCUGGAGCUUGCUCAGCUUCCUUGUAAAACCCAGCUGUGCCUUCACCCUGGACAGGAGCAUCUGGUUAGUACAUGUGGCUGCGUCCUGUUGAUGGCAACCCUUGGGCCCAAGGAGGAGGGAAGGGAAGGGGAGGGGAGGCGAGGCGAGGUGAGGCAAGGCUAGGCGAGGUGAGGCGAGCCAACCCUAUGCCCUGGGGUUGGGCUGCCAGGCUGACAGCGAAGUGGACUUCCAGACUUUGUGAAGGAAGGUCAAGUGGUGGGAGCCCUAUAUACAUGAGGAGGCAGAAAUGUGGGGACAGAGCGUUCAUAGAAUAGAGGAACCACAGAGAGAGAGUUGAAUAAGAUAUUGGGGAAUGAAUUCCCUGGGGCAUUGCCAAGAAUUAAGGCCCAAAGAACAUUUUAAGAAGGGAAUACUGGUUGUCCAGGCUGUGGGAGGGGAAACUGGGAGGAAAACUGCCAUGUGUUGACUCAGAGAACAAAACAUGAGUCUGGUUUGGAGAGACGUGGUAAUAGUUGUUUGGGUUUUAGAUUUUCAGGCUAAGGACAAUGGGAUUGCAAGUACUUCAUGCAGUGGGAGUGGAGGGUUAGAUGCCAUGGAAGAACCUGGGGCGUGCAAGAUUUUGGGAGCUGAAAGCAGUGUGUGUCUGUAUGUCACCAUCCUAUGAUAGAAAAGCAAAAUGGAAGGAUUGUGAGGAGGAAAGCAGGCGACUUUGAGGAGAGUUGUAAUAGGGAGGAGCUGUCAUAGGUCUGCUUGUAAGAACUAGUAGAAUAUCAGAGUGUGAGAUCUGGGACAGGCCCUGGGGAGAAAGGAAGAGUGAGGGAAGGGAUAUCAGGAGGCAGGCAGAGGGAACAUUCAGGAGGGACUGGGGAAUGGGAGCUGAGUUAAUCAGGAAAUUUGACCAAAGUGUGCAGACUACCAAGAGAUGGAGAAGAAGUUAUUUGAAAGAAAAUGGGUUCAUAGGGGGCUUGGGAACAGGGAGAACCUGACUUAGCCUAUGAAUGAAGUUUGUGGCUUGUGGAAGUCAGAAUAUGGGCAGAGGAGUUUCUCUUGGUAAAUAUAUUUUUCUUGGCUUUCAAAGGAGUGUCUGCUAUGUGCCCACAUUUGUUCUAGUUAUUUAAGGUACUGCAGAGAGCAUCAUGAGGGUCCAUGAAAAAGUCUGUGGAAAGAGGGAUUUGUAAGGUUGUUUCAUUGUGUGUGUGUGUGUGUGUGUGUGUGUGUGUACAGAGAGAGAGAUAGAGAAUUAUUCUUAUCCAUUCAACUGAUGAUGUUUGAAUUCCUGGGCAAUUUCUUGUUUCCCUGCCGUGAAGAAUACUGCAAUAAAUACUGUGGUGAACGUAUCUCUCUGAUACA
rnacentral:lncRNA from 1 species